rnacentral:rRNA from 1 species
GUGGGGAAUUUUCCGCAAUGGGCGCAAGCCUGACGGAGCAACGCCGCGUGGGUGACGAAGGAUUUCGGUCUGUAAAGCCCUUUCAGUCGGGACGAGUCGCAGACGGUACCGACAGAAGAAGCAUCGGCUAACUACGUGCCAGCAGCCGCGGUAAGACGUAGGAUGCGAGCGUUGUCCGGAAUUAUUGGGCGUAAAGCGUACGUAGGCGGUCAUCUAAGUCUGGGGUUAAAGACCAAGGCUCAACCUUGGGAGUGCCCUGGAUACUGGGUGACUGGAGGACGGCAGAGGAAAGUGGAAUUCCCAGUGUAGCGGUGAAAUGCGUAGAUAUUGGGAGGAACACCAGUGGCGAAAGCGACUUUCUGGGCCGUUCCUGACGCUGAGGUACGAAAGCCAGGGGAGCAAACGGGAUUAGAAACCCCAGUAGUCC